GACGAACGCUGGCGGCGUGCUUAACACAUGCAAGUCGAACGGAAAGGCCCUGCUUUUGUGUGGUGCUCGAGUGGCGAACGGGUGAGUAACACGUGAGUAACCUGCCCUUGACUUUGGGAUAACUUCAGGAAACUGGGGCUAAUACCGGAUAGGAGCUCCUGCUGCAUGGUGGGGGUUGGAAAGUUUCGGCGGUUGGUGAUGGACUCGCGGCUUAUCAGCUUGUUGGUGGGGUAGUGGCUUACCAAGGCUUUGACGGGUAGCCGGCCUGAGAGGGUGACCGGCCACACUGGGACUGAGGUAGGGCCCAGCCUCCUACGGGAGGCAACAGUGGGGAAUAUUGUACAAUGGGCGGAAGCCUGAUGCAGCAACGCCGCGUGCGGGAUGACGGCCUUCGGGUUGUAAACCGAUUUCGCCUGUGACGAAGCGUGAGUGACGGUAAUGGGUAAAGAAGCACCGGCUAACUACGUG
rnacentral:rRNA from 1 species